rnacentral:misc_RNA from 1 species
AUUUAUAGUCAUUUCAGAAAUGAUAAAAAAAAAAUUUAAUGGCCAACAACUAACAAGGAGCCACUUGCUUUGCUUGGUUAUCGUCACAAGUAAGUAUUACAAACAAUGCUUUCCACAGAAAUCUACAGUUGCCUUGCAAAUUUCACAAGCCAAAGUUUACAUUUAUUUUUUGUUCUCUUUCAACCCUUUAUUCUAAUCCUUUUACAAACCAAAAUUGCAAGUUGAGUUGUG